rnacentral:rRNA from 1 species
UUCUUCGGAGAGUUUGAUCCUGGCUCAGGAUGAACGCUGGCGGCGUGCCUAAUACAUGCAAGUCGAGCGAACUGAUUAGAAGCUUGCUUCUAUGACGUUAGCGGCGGACGGGUGAGUAACACGUGGGCAACCUGCCUGUAAGACUGGGAUAACUCCGGGAAACCGGAGCUAAUACCGGAUAACAUUUUCUCUUGCAUAAGAGAAAAUUGAAAGAUGGUUUCG